rnacentral:rRNA from 1 species
UACGGAGGAUGCAAGCGUUAUCCGGAAUGAUUGGGCGUAAAGCGUCCGCAGGUGGCAAUGUAAGUCUGCUGUUAAAGAGUCUAGCUCAACUAGAUAAAAGCAGUGGAAACUACAUAGCUAGAGUACGUUCGGGGCAGAGGGAAUUCCUGGUGUAGCGGUGAAAUGCGUAGAGAUCAGGAAGAACACCAGUGGCGAAGGCGCUCUGCUAGGCCGUAACUGACACUGAGGGACGAAAGCUAGGGGAGCGAUGGG